rnacentral:rRNA from 1 species
UUGUUGGGUAGGGGAGCGUUCUGUAAGCCUGCGAAGGUGUGCUGUGAGGCAUGCUGGAGGUAUCAGAAGUGCGAAUGCUGACAUAAGUAACGAUAAAGCGGGUGAAAAGCCCGCUCGCCGGAAGACCAAGGGUUCCUGUCCAACGUUAAUCGGGGCAGGGUGAGUCGACCCCUAAGGCGAGGCCGAAAGGCGUAGUCGAUGGGAAACAGGUUAAUAUUCCUGUACUUGGUGUUACUGCGAAGGGGGGACGGAGAAGGCUAUGUCGGCCGGGCGACGGUUGUCCCGGUUUAAGCGUGUAGGCUGACUUUCCAGGCAAAUCCGGAAGGUUAAGGCUGAGGCGUGAUGACGAGGCACCACGGUGCUGAAGUGACAAAUGCCCUGCUUCCAGGAAAAGCCUCUAAGCAUCAGGUAACAUCAAAUCGUACCCCAAACCGACACAGGUGGUCAGGUAGAGAAUACCAAGGCGCUUGAGAGAACUCGGGUGAAGGAACUAGGCAAAAUGGUGCCGUAACUUCGGGAGAAGGCACGCUGACAUGUAGGUGAAGCCCCUGCGGGUGGAGCUGAAGUCAGUCGAAGAUACCAGCUGGCUGCAACUGUUUAUUAAAAACACAGCACUGUGCAAACACGAAAGUGGACGUAUACGGUGUGACGCCUGCCCGGUGCCGGAAGGUUAAUUGAUGGGGUUAUCGCAAGAGAAGCUCCUGAUCGAAGCCCCGGUAAACGGCGGCCGUAACUAUAACGGUCCUAAGGUAGCGAAAUUCCUUGUCGGGUAAGUUCCGACCUGCACGAAUGGCGUAAUGAUGGCCAGGCUGUCUCCACCCGAGACUCAGUGAAAUUGAACUCGCUGUGAAGAUGCAGUGUACCCGCGGCAAGACGGAAAGACCCCGUGAACCUUUACUACAGCUUGACACUGAACAUUGAGCCUUGAUGUGUAGGAUAGGUGGGAGGCUUUGAAGCGUGGACGCCAGUCUGCGUGGAGCCGACCUUGAAAUACCACCCUUUAAUGUUUGAUGUUCUAACCUGGCGCCGUGAUCCGGCGUGGGGACAGUGUCUGGUGGGUAGUUUGACUGGGGCGGUCUCCUCCCAAAGUGUAACGGAGGAGCACGAAGGUCAGCUAAUCCUGGUCGGACAUCAGGAGGUUAGUGCAAUGGCAUAAGCUGGCUUGACUGCGAGAGUGACGGCUCGAGCAGGUGCGAAAGCAGGUCAUAGUGAUCCGGUGGUUCUGUAUGGAAGGGCCAUCGCUCAACGGAUAAAAGGUACUCCGGGGAUAACAGGCUGAUACCGCCCAAGAGUUCAUAUCGACGGCGGUGUUUGGCACCUCGAUGUCGGCUCAUCACAUCCUGGGGCUGAAGUAGGUCCCAAGGGUAUGGCUGUUCGCCAUUUAAAGUGGUACGCGAGCUGGGUUUAGAACGUCGUGAGACAGUUCGGUCCCUAUCUGCCGUGGGCGCUGGAGAAUUGAGGGGGGCUGCUCCCAGUACGAGAGGACCGGAGUGGACGCAUCACUGGUGUUCGGGUUGUCAUGCCAAUGGCACUGCCCGGUAGCUAAAUGCGGAAGAGAUAAGUGCUGAAAGCAUCUAAGCACGAAACUUGCCCCGAGAUGAGUUCU